rnacentral:rRNA from 1 species
GAUGAACGCUGGCGGCGUGCCUAACACAUGCAAGUCGAGCGAUUCUCUUCGGAGAAGAGCGGCGGACGGGUGAGUAACGCGUGGGUAACCUGCCCUGUACACACGGAUAACAUACCGAAAGGUAUGCUAAUACGAGAUAAUAUACUUUUAUCGCAUGGUAGAAGUAUCAAAGCUCCGGCGGUACAGGAUGGACCCGCGUCUGAUUAGCUAGUUGGUAAGGUAACGGCUUACCAAGGCGACGAUCAGUAGCCGACCUGAGAGGGUGAUCGGCCACAUUGGAACUGAGACACGGUCCAAACUCCUACGGGAGGCAGCAGUGGGGAAUAUUGCACAAUGGGCGAAAGCCUGAUGCAGCAACGCCGCGUGAGCGAUGAAGGCC